UACGUAGGGGGCUAGCGUUGUCCGGUAUCAUUGGGCGUAAAGCGCGUGUAGGCGGUCCGGUAAGUCCGCUGUGAAAGUCGGGGGCUCAACCCUCGGAUGCCGGUGGAUACUGUCGGGCUUGAGUACGGAAGAGGCGAGUGGAAUUCCUGGUGUAGCGGUGAAAUGCGCAGAUAUCAGGAGGAACACCAAUUGCGAAGGCAGCUCGCUGGGACGUUACUGACGCUGAGACGCGAAAGCGUGGGGAGCAAACAGG
rnacentral:rRNA from 1 species